rnacentral:rRNA from 1 species
GACGAACCGUGCGAACGUUGUUCGGAAUCACUGGGCUUAAAGGGCGCGUAGGCGGGCUGGCGAGUCCGGGGUGAAAGUCACCGGCUUAACCGGUGGAGUGCCCCGGAUACUGCCGGCCUGGAGGGGGGUAGGGGACCGCGGAACUAUGGGUGGAGCGGUGAAAUGCGUUGAUAUCCAUAGGAACUCCGGUGGCGAAGGCGGCGGUCUGGACCCCAUCUGACGCUGAGGCGCGAAAGCCAGGGGAGCGAACGGG